UACGUAGGGAGCAAGCGUUGUUCGGAUUUACUGGGCGUAAAGGGCGCGUAGGCGGUCAGCACAAGUCAGCUGUGAAAUCUCCGGGCUUAACUCGGAAAGGUCAACUGAUACUGUGCGACUAGAGUGCAGAAGGGGCAACUGGAAUUCUCGGUGUAGCGGUGAAAUGCGUAGAUAUCGAGAGGAACACCUGCGGCGAAGGCGGGUUGCUGGGCUGACACUGACGCUGAUGCGCGAAAGCCAGGGGAGCGAACGGG
rnacentral:rRNA from 1 species